AAUAUACAACAAUAUAAGAUGACAAUGAUAGAGACUGUGAAAAUUAGUA
rnacentral:guide_RNA from 1 species